rnacentral:sRNA from 1 species
AAUAUCUAUGUUAAAGCCAAAGACAGCAGGUGCAACAGCUUAAAUAUCCUGCCGAGGUUCGAAAAACAUUAUUUUUUAAUGAUCGGAUUUACGUCUCACGGCUUUAGUGAGAUUUUUUUAUUU